rnacentral:lncRNA from 1 species
CAGGGAUUGAGCAUCUGCCUUUGGCCCAGGGCGUGACCCCGGGGUCCCGGCAUCGAGUCCCGUGUUGGGCUCCCUGCGAAGAGCCUGCUUCUCCCUCUGCCUGUGUCUCUGCCUCUCUCUCUCUCUCUGUUUCUCAUGAAUAAAUAAAAUCUUAAAAAAAAAAAGAAUAAUCACAAUUUUUGCCACUGUCAGUACAACUCUGUUUUCAUUGCCUGGUAUUGAGAAAUGCUUUUAACUUCUUUUCAUGACCAUUUGGCCCACUGGUUAGUUUUACAGUUUGCUGCUCUGGGCAAUCUGGACAACUUACCAUUACUGCAGAUGCUUUUUGCUUUUCUCCCUUCAUACUUUUGUCUAUGUGGAAUAUCAUCUCCCAUCACCCCAAGACCAAAUUGAAUGCAUGAGUACGUGACAGACAAGUUCUUGUCAUGGGUCACAUUUCAUGCCCUAUUUACUGUCUAGAUGUGAAUUGGAAAUGAGAUUCUGAAGCCUUUAGUGGUUUGUUUUUUUAAGAUGUUAUUUAUUUAUUCAUGAGAGACACAGAGAGAGGCAGAGACCCAGGCAGAGGGAGAAGCAGGCUCCAUGCAGGGAGCCCGAUUCGGGACUCGAUCCCAGGACCCUGGGGUCAUGUCCUGAGCUGAAGGCAGAUGCUCAACCACUGAGCCGCCCUGGUGCCCCACCCUUAGUUUUGAGUUUACAUCACAAUUGGAAGGUAUGUAUGCUUAGGAUCAAUGUUACAGUGAACAUACAGAACUGAUGUGUGAUUUCUGAGUGAUUCCUGAUUUUUCACUCUGAGCAGAUGAGAAAUGAGGCACCCGUGUGACCUGGAAUGAGCUGAGGCAUGGUGAAGAGGUAUUGGGAGGAGGUGAGAGAAGGGUUUUUAUGGUCCAGAAUGAUUCCGUUGCCAGCAUCUUCUGAUAGAAGGAAUUAACUUUUCCAGGCAGUGCAAUCAUGCUAUUUAUUAAAAGAAGCAUUGGACAAUCCGAAUGGACUUCAGAGCUGUGUCCUGAGCCAUCUGGCCAACUCUCGGGCAAGAAACUUCUUUGUUCUUUAGAGACCAAGCUUUUUCCCCAAGCACUAACAGAAUUGAAAUGGAAGAAGUUGGAAUUACUCGUCUUUGGUGUUUUUCAAACAACAGCAGGUCAAUUAUCCCAGGCUACAGAGAUAUUUAUGAUGCCAUUCUAA